AGUGAACGCUGGCGGUAGGCCUAACACAUGCAAGUCGAACGGCAGCACAGGAGAGCUUGCUCUCUGGGUGGCGAGUGGCGGACGGGUGAGGAAUACAUCGGAAUCUACUCUGUCGUGGGGGAUAACGUAGGGAAACUUACGCUAAUACCGCAUACGACCUACGGGUGAAAGCAGGGGAUCUUCGGACCUUGCGCGAUUGAAUGAGCCGAGUUCGGAUUAGCUAGUUGGCGGGGUAAAGGCCCACCAAGGCGACGAUCCGUAGCUGGUCUGAGAGGAGGCUCAGCCACACUGGAACGGAGACACGGUCCAGACUCCUACGGGAGGCAGCAGUGGGGAAUAUUGGACAAUGGGCGCAAGCCUGAUCCAGCCAUACCGCGUGGGUGAAGAAGGCCUUCGGGUUGUAAAGCCCUUUUGUUGGGAAAGAAAUCCAGCUGGCUAAUACCCGGUUGGGAUGACGGUACCCAAAGAAUAAGCACCGGCUAACUUCGUGCCAGCAGCCGCCGUAA
rnacentral:rRNA from 1 species